AUUAAGCGGAGGAAAAGAAACUAACCAGGAUUCCCCUAGUAAGGGCGACUGAAGCGGGAAGUGCUCAAGAUGUGAAUCUGCGCCUCGUGCGCCGAAUUGUGGUCUGUAGACUGUGACGUUAUCUGCCGGGCCAAGUCCCUUGGAAAAGGGCAGCAGAGAGGGUGAGACUCCCGUCCGCCUGGCAGAAUGAGUCGCUAGUCAACGAGUCGAGUUGUUUGGGAUUGCAGCUCUAAGUGGGUGGUAAAUUCCAUCUAAAGCUAAAUAUUGGUGGGAGACCGAUAGCGUACAAGUACCGUGAGGGAAAGAUGCAAAGAACUUUGAAAAGAGAGUUAAAGAGUACCUGAAAUUGCUGAAAGGGAAGCGAAGGAAACCAGUGUUGGGCGUGUCAUAUUUCCCUCUCUGCCUGCAGAUUGGGCGCUGUGUCACGUCUUUUGGUUGUUCUUGGUUGGGACCAGUGGAAGAGCGCUGAGGGAGUUGACCUCGGUUGCUAGCAUUGGUCGUGACUGAGGAGGACGAAAUGGUUUUCUUUACCCCGUCU
rnacentral:rRNA from 1 species